AUUGAACGCUGGCGGCAUGCCUUACACAUGCAAGUCGAACGGUAACGGGUCCUUCGGGAUGCCGACGAGUGGCGAACGGGUGAGUAAUACAUCGGAACGUGCCCAGUAGUGGGGGAUAACUGCUCGAAAGAGCAGCUAAUACCGCAUACGACCUGAGGGUGAAAGGGGGGGAUCGCAAGACCUCUCGCUAUUGGAGCGGCCGAUAUCAGAUUAGCUAGUUGGUGGGGUAAAGGCCUACCAAGGCAACGAUCUGUAGUUGGUCUGAGGGGACGACCAGCCACACUGGGACUGAGACACGGCCCAGACUCCUACGGGAGGCAGCAGUGGGGAAUUUUGGACAAUGGGCGCAAGCCUGAUCCAGCAAUGCCGCGUGCAGGAAGAAGGCCUUCGGGUUGUAACUGCUUUUGUCAGGGAAGAAAUCUUCUGGGCUAAUACCCCGGGAGGAUGACGGUACCUGAAGAAUAAGCACCGGCUAACUACGUGCCAGCCGCCGCCGUAA
rnacentral:rRNA from 1 species